GUAUUAAAAUUUGAAUUCAUAAGUUUUGCAUCAAAGUUACCACCUAAUACAAAUUGGUAUGUUAAUACUUGGGUUACCAGCUAAUAUCAUAGGGGUGUCAAAAUGGGUAACCCAACUCAACUCAACUCACAAUCAAAUGAGUUUAGGAUUAAAUGAGUUAUUGGUUGACCCAACUCAUUUUGUUAAAUGGGUUGGGUCAACUCAUAACUCAUUUAAUUUGAUGGGUUGAGUUGUUAAAUGGGUUAACCCAUUUAAGUAAUAAUUUAAUUAAUUAUUAUUAUAAAACAAUAAUAAAUAAUUA
rnacentral:sRNA from 1 species